ACCGCAAAACGUUCUAUCGCUACCCGCGCUUAGUGGGUGGAGGAAAGUCCGGGCAACACAGAGCAUCCUGCUUCCUAACGGGAAGGCGCCCGCAGCGGGCGACAGCAAGUGCCACAGAGAAUAUACCGCCCCGAAUUUAUUCGGGGUAAGGGUGAAAACGUGAGGUAAGAGCUCACGGCUUUUCCGGGCGACCGGGAUCGCGGUAAACCUCAGGAGUUGAAAAACCAAAUAGGUUCUGAAAGCGGAGCUGCUCGCUCCCGCCUCCCUACGGGGACGUCAGAAUGGGUAGGUUGAUUGAACCUGCCGGCAACGGCAGGGCCAGAUUAAUGAUAGAAAUUCCUGCAAAGGAACACAGAACCCGGCUUACAGGUUUGCAGCUGUA
rnacentral:RNase_P_RNA from 1 species